rnacentral:rRNA from 1 species
GGGUUGUGAGGUUAAGCGACUAAGCGUACACGGUGGAUGCCCUGGCAGUCAGAGGCGAUGAAGGACGUGCUAAUCUGCGAUAAGCGUCGGUAAGGUGAUAUGAACCGUUAUAACCGGCGAUUUCCGAAUGGGGAAACCCAGUGUGAUUCGUCACACUAUCAUUAACUGAAUCCAUAGGUUAAUGAGGCGAACCGGGGGAACUGAAACAUCUAAGUACCCCGAGGAAAAGAAAUCAACCGAGAUUCCCCCAGUAGCGGCGAGCGAACGGGGAGCAGCCCAGAGCCUGAAUCAGUGUGUGUGUUAGUGGAAGCGUCUGGAAAGACGCGCGAUACAGGGUGACAGCCCCGUACACAAAAAUGCACAUGCUGUGAGCUCGAUGAGUAGGGCGGGACACGUGGUAUCCUGUCUGAAUAUGGGGGGACCAUCCUCCAAGGCUAAAUACUCCUGACUGACCGAUAGUGAACCAGUACCGUGAGGGAAAGGCGAAAAGAACCCCGGCGAGGGGAGUGAAAAAGAACCUGAAACCGUGUACGUACAAGCAGUGGGAGCACAGAGCAAUCUGUGUGACUGCGUACCUUUUGUAUAAUGGGUCAGCGACUUAUAUUCUGUAGCAAGGUUAACCGAAUAGGGGAGCCGAAGGGAAACCGAGUCUUAACUGGGCGUUAAGUUGCAGGGUAUAGACCCGAAACCCGGUGAUCUAGCCAUGGGCAGGUUGAAGGUUGGGUAACACUAACUGGAGGACCGAACCGACUAAUGUUGAAAAAUUAGCGGAUGACUUGUGGCUGGGGGUGAAAGGCCAAUCAAACCGGGAGAUAGCUGGUUCUCCCCGAAAGCUAUUUAGGUAGCGCCUCGUGAAUUCAUCUCCGGGGGUAGAGCACUGUUUCGGCAAGGGGGUCAUCCCGACUUACCAACCCGAUGCAAACUGCGAAUACCGGAGAAUGUUAUCACGGGAGACACACGGCGGGUGCUAACGUCCGUCGUGAAGAGGGAAACAACCCAGACCGCCAGCUAAGGUCCCAAAGUCAUGGUUAAGUGGGAAACGAUGUGGGAAGGCCCAGACAGCCAGGAUGUUGGCUUAGAAGCAGCCAUCAUUUAAAGAAAGCGUAAUAGCUCACUGGUCGAGUCGGCCUGCGCGGAAGAUGUAACGGGGCUAAACCAUG